UACGUAGGGUGCGAGCGUUGUCCGGAAUUAUUGGGCGUAAAGAGCUUGUAGGCGGUUUGUCGCGUCUGCUGUGAAAUUUCGGGGCUCAACCCCGAACUUGCAGUGGGUACGGGCAGACUAGAGUGUGGUAGGGGAGACUGGAAUUCCUGGUGUAGCGGUGAAAUGCGCAGAUAUCAGGAGGAACACCUAUGGCGAAGGCAGCUCUCUGGGACGGUACUGACGCUGAGACGCGAAAGCGUGGGGAGCGAACAGG
rnacentral:rRNA from 1 species